UCCACCACCACCGGUGAGUUACCUACCUCCCUCCACCACCGGUGAGUUACCUACCUCCAUCCACCACCACCGGUGAGUUACCUACCUACCUCCAUCCACCACCACCGGUGAGUUACCUACCUCCAUCCACCACCACCGGUGAGUUACCUACCUCCCUCCACCACCACCGGUGAGUUACCUACCUCCCUCCACCACUGGUGAGUUACCUACCUCCCUCCACCACCGGUGAGCCACCUCACAUGAACCACACAGGGAGCUCAGUACAGGCCAUAUCAAUGAAGCCGUAACAUGUCCUCUCUCCUCUCGUUCUUCAGAGUCAGAGAGCCGUAACCCAGGGUUUUCCUUGAUGCUGCUGGAGCUUGAGCUGGAGGUGGAGAUGGUGAGGACCAAGGCCCUGGCAACCUGCCAGCAGCAGGCAGUGUGUGUGUGACAAGGCUGGUCAGAGAGGUCAAGACCCUUAGAGAACAGUUGGAGCUACAGAGAAGUGGACACCCUAAACAAUGAGUUGGACAAGGAGAGAGAGCGACGGCACAGAGUAGGUCUGUUUCACAUUUGUUUCUUGGCCACAGUAGUGUGUGUCUGUCAGCGUCAGGCCCUACUUACGGUAGUUGUGAUCAGACUUAUCCACAAUGCUGUAUAGAAUUAUAAGGUAUUCAUUCAUGUGUUCUGUUUAUGUGUAUAGAACAGCAGUUGUUGGAGUAUAAACUAAGGAAGACACGACAGCUCCUAGAGAGGCAGGUGAUUUGCGACUCAGAUGAUUCUGACCAGAAUGACCCAGAAUCUCCCUGUGAACCUAUCAGCUCACAUCCCAGUCCUUUAGGCCUGUCAUUGGAUGCAGAGAUGUAGGAGAUAGAAGCUGUAAAUGGAGUCAAGCCUCAGAAGAUUCUGGUACAAUAUUUACAGAACAACGUUAUUGAAAUAUUACUUUCUAUUUUGGACAAAGGGCUCAUAACUAGUUUUAAAAUGUAAAUAUUUUUUUGCAGGAAACGAGCACUAUUAAUGAUACUUCAAGGCUACACAGGGCGCUUGUGUGUACAUAUGUGUGUGUGUGUGUGUGUGUGUGUGUGUGUGUGUGUGUGUGUGCCUGUGU